GAUGAAGAACGUAGCGAAAUGCGAUAAGUAGUGUGAAUUGCAGAAUUCAGUGAAUCAUCGAAUCUUUGAACGCACAUUGCGCCUCCUGACAUUCCGGGAGGCAUGCCUGUUCGAGCGUCAUCAAAAACCCUCAAGUUCGAAUUUAUUCUUACUUGGCUUUGGACAUGGAGCUGCCUUUCACUGUUCCUGUCCGAAAUGCAUUGGCAAAGUGGCUUGGACCAUUAAGUGUAGUAAUCAACAUUAUGUUUCACUAUUGGACAAGCUAUGUUCUGCCCUUAAACCCCCCUCAAUCAAGUGUUUGACCUCGGAUCAGGUAGGGAUACCCGCUGAACUUAAGCAUAUCAAUAAGCGGAGGA
rnacentral:misc_RNA from 1 species